rnacentral:rRNA from 1 species
GAUAACCCCGGGAAACCGGGGCUAAUACCGAAUAUGACCUCCGAUCGCAUGGUCGGUGGUGGAAAGUUUUUCGGCUUGGGAUGGGCUCGCGGCCUAUCAGCUUGUUGGUGGGGUGAUGGCCUACCAAGGCGACGACGGGUAGCCGGCCUGAGAGGGCGACCGGCCACACUGGGACUGAGACACGGCCCAGACUCCUACGGGAGGCAGCAGUGGGGAAUAUUGCACAAUGGGCGGAAGCCUGAUGCAGCGACGCCGCGUGAGGGAUGACGGCCUUCGGGUUGUAAACCUCUUUCAGCAGGGACGAAGCGUAAGUGACGGUACCUGCAGAAGAAGCGCCGGCCAACUACGUGCCAGCAGCCGCGGUAAGACGUAGGGCGCGAGCGUUGUCCGGAUUUAUUGGGCGUAAAGAGCUCGUAGGCGGCUUGUCGCGUCGACCGUGAAAACCUGGGGCUCAACCCCAGGCCUGCGGUCGAUACGGGCAGGCUAGAGUUCGGUAGGGGAGACUGGAAUUCCUGGUGUAGCGGUGAAAUGCGCAGAUAUCAGGAGGAACACCGGUGGCGAAGGCGGGUCUCUGGGCCGAUACUGACGCUGAGGAGCGAAAGCGUGGGGAGCGAACAGGAUUAGAUACCCUGGUAGUCCACGCUGUAAACGUUGGGCGCUAGGUGUGGGGGGCCUCUCCGGUUCCCUGUGCCGCAGCUAACGCAUUAAGCGCCCCGCCUGGGGAGUACGGCCGCAAGGCUAAAACUCAAAG